GCUGGGAUAGCUCAGUGGGUACAGCAUGAGGCUCUUCAUCUCAAGAGUCGUGGGUUCGAGUCCCAGUUGGGCA